rnacentral:rRNA from 1 species
AACGAACGCUGGCGGCAUGCCUAACACAUGCAAGUCGAACGCGUGUAGCAAUACACGAGUGGCGGACGGGUGAGUAACGCGUGGGAACCUGCCCAAUGGUAGGGAAUAACUGCGGGAAACUGCAGCUAAUACCCUAUGCUCCCUACGGGGGAAAGAUUUAUCGCCAUUGGAGGGGCCCGCGUCGGAUUAGCUAGUUGGCGGGGUAACGGCCCACCAAGGCUACGAUCCGUAGCUGGUCUGAGAGGAUGAUCAGCCACACUGGGACUGAGAUACGGCCCAGACUCCUACGGGAGGCAGCAGUGGGGAAUAUUGGACAAUGGGGAAACCCUGAUCCAGCAAUGCCGCGUGAGUGAAGAAGGCCUUAGGGUUGUAAAGCUC